rnacentral:tRNA from 22 species
GCCCGGGUGGUGAAACUGGUAGACACGCUAUCUUGAGGGGGUAGUGGCGAAAGCCGUGCCGGUUCGAGUCCGGCCCCGGGCACCA